ACAUGUGGCGAGGCCUUYUACACCAUGUCACAGGAGAGCAUGAGUGGCCCCUGGAUGCCUGUCAGCMUGGUCCCUUGGAGGAGCAAAGAGACAAGGAGUGAAUAGAGAAGGGAUCUGGUUMCCAUCAGCUUCAUCAGAAGUCAUUCUCAAUGCGCGCUGKCUAAAAGAGCUUCACAAGUUCUGGCACUUUAGUUUCGGACAUCACAAGCUUUAUAAUAAGAAGUCCAGAAGUGGAGUUCGUAUGCCAUAAAGGAGGAGAAGGACUUCCAUUACAUUCCACAACUUCAGAGGCCAAUUAUAAGGAAACUGGUGGCAUCAGGACACAAACUCCCUCGAGUUUCAACCAUGAGACUAAAUGACCCACGUCAGCAUGAUGUGCUGUCCGGUGUGCCGGCUYCCACCACACAGGAGCUGCUGGUGAUACCAGUCAGCAGAGGCCAGGGUCAGACUUUGCAGGAGACAUGGAGGAAGGAAUCAUGUCUUCAGAACUCAAAAUGUUCAUAUAUCUACAGGAGCACUUUGCAAUAAAUAACAUUUUAUAGUUACGCAUUUUUGGAAGACUGGAAGAUUAAUACCUAAACACCAACUAUAAAGUCUUAAAAAAAGGCAAUCAUUAAAAAAAACARCUAAUAAAUUACCAAUGCUAAACCUGGUGGGGGCACRAGUAAAGCCCGGUGGCCCGCCAGGCUCAUAAUACACUGAGGGAAACCCUGCCUGUACUGUCCAUCAGGAUCAGGACAGCGAUCCUGAAUUGCCCAAACACAGCAGCUUGGGAUGACCACUCUGUGACCWGKACCCAGAGUCCCACACUGCCUUUUGUCUUCACCUUCAUCUGGAAGGKCSUCUUCCGCACGCAGCUCAUUCCAGAUCCUUCUGGCCAGAUGCAGGACUCCUGCUUCYAGAAUGCGAGCUUCCAUAUGCGGCAAGGCUGAAAACUGUCCCAAUUCCUCCUGGGAGAYUCUGGAACCCAAAGUCUGUUCCACCAAACCUGGGAGUAAAAUAUUCACAGGACACGUAGUUUACUCAUAUAUUUACAUUUCUUCRUUCAACUUGUACCUUCAACUGUAAUGGCURUUGAUGGAGCCUGUUGUAAUGCUUACUUGGUUAACUAACAUGGACAUAGCUUUUGACGGAGUUUAACURUAAUAAAUUUGAUUUAAUUUUGAUUUGUUACAUAAAAGACCAAACUAAAAACCAUUUUUAUGUGAAUGGUUCUUGGGACUCGACAUGCACAUUUGGAGAAGGUCGACCAUAACUUUCCAUGUGUGUCAGCAGAUUUCCCAGCGGCUCGUCUCCAGAACGCACCGAUGUCCAGCAGCAAAAACGUCGGGGAAAUUUUGAAGUCGCACUGGGAUCAUUUAAAGAUGGACGCAYACGUUUCAAUCUCCUUGUCUAUUCUUUUGCUCGACUCAUUCUUCCCAAGAGACGGCUUCGCAGAAGGAAAGCCAAACCAUGCCACCCAGGGUAGUUCCCCAACCUCCGACCCCUCGUGUCACCCGUCCGUCUCCGUCAGACCCUGUGAACUGUCUCGCCUCAGGAGGGAGUUACAGCUCAGCUUAUUUUCAAUGCAGCGUUUUAUUGCCCAUGCCUUCAAACUCAAACAUGGUGAGCUCUCCACACAGUCUGUGAACUGGCUGCAAAAAAUAAAAGCUCCUGUGUGA